rnacentral:rRNA from 1 species
UGCAUGGCUGUCGUCAGCUCGUGUCGUGAGAUGUUGGGUUAAGUCCCGCAACGAGCGCAACCCUUGUCCUUAGUUACCAGCGGGUUAAGCCGGGAACUCUAAGGAUACUGCCAGUGACAAACUGGAGGAAGGCGGGGACGACGUCAAGUCAUCAUGGCCCUUACGACCAGGGCUACACACGUGCUACAAUGGUAGGUACAGAGGGCAGCUACACAGCGAUGUGAUGCGAAUCUCAAAAAGCCUAUCGUAGUCCAGAUUGGAGUCUGCAACUCGACUCCAUGAAGUAGGAAUCGCUAGUAAUCGCGGAUCAGAAUGC